CUGAGUACAUGAGUAUGUGGCCCUCUGACCACCGACCAUUGCGAAUUGAGUUUGCACUGGAACCAGAGAGUCUACAAAGAGGACGGUUUUACUUUGAUAAGCGGAUGUUUGGUAAAAGAGGUGUGGAAGAAGCCAUCAUUCGUGGUUGGGAGGCAGAGAAUGACUCGUCGGAUCUAAGUGUUCUAGACCGCAUUGCUCAAUGCAGAACGGAACUAGCUAAGCUUAAAAAAGCUAGUGACUGGAACUCUAAAACAAAGAUCGAACGUCUGCAGACUGAGCUUGAAAAAGAAUCAUCGAAAAGGUUCCCAGUCUUUGGUGUCUUGAGGAGGCUAAAACAAGAACUUUCUAAAGCAUUCUACGAAGAGGAGAUUUUCUGGAGACAGAGGAGUCGAGAAGAAUGGCUGAGAGAGGGGGACAAAAACACCACGUACUUUCACAAUGUCGUGAAAGGAAAAAAGAUAAGGAAUAAAAUCAUGAUGUUGAAGGACAUAUUUGGUAAUGAGCAUUUCACAGAGGGGUCUAAAGGGAACAUAGCGGUUGAGUACUUUCGUGACCUCUUCACUAGCUCAAACCCGGUUGAUCUGGAAACUUUAUUUGAAGGUUUCAACGCCAGGGUGACCACCGAGAUGAACGAUAGUCUGACGAGAGAAGUGUCACCAGAGGAAAUUAAGAAGGCGACAUUUGGAAUAAAAGCCAGCAGUUCACCAGGGGAAGAUGGUCUCACGGGCUUCUUUUACCAAAAGUACUGGCACGUGGUUGGUCCUAAACUGAUCCAGGAUGUGCAAGGUUUCUUUCGAACGCCUAUCCUCCCGGCUGGUUGGAAUCAUACACAACUAUGCUUGCUAGCUAAGGUUACUGAUCCCACAGAGAUGAAGGACAUGAGGCCCAUAAGUCUUUGUACUGUCCAGUACAAAAUUAUCUCGAGGAUUAUAUGUAAUAGACUCAAGCUGAUACUCCCAGAGAUAAUCUCAGAGACACAAGGAGCCUUUGUGGGAGGCCGACUUAUCACAGACAAUGUGAUCAUCGCACAUGAGCUAGUGCACGGUCUGGGUACGAACGAAAAGAUUGAUAGCCAGAGUAUGGCUGUGAAAACAGACAUGUCGAAAGCCUACGAUCGAGUAGAAUGGAACUUCCUGGAGGUUUUGUUGGAGAGAAUGGGCUUUGAUAGAAAAUGGGUAAGUUGGACAAUGGCUUGCAUAAGCACUGUCUCUUUCUCGGUGUUACUAAAUGCUCGAUCACAUGGAUUCAUCAAGCCUGAAAGAGGGAUAAGACAAGGAGAUCCUCUUUCCCCUUUCUUAUUUAUCCUCUGCGCUGAAGCGUUGGUUCAUGUUCUGAAUGCGUCUGAAGCAAAAGGUAAAUUACAUGGGAUCAAGCUAGCUACAUCUAGUCCUCCAGUCCAUCACUUGCUGUUCCCCGAUGAUAGCUUAUUGCUAUGUGACGCGGAUGCCAUAGAAAGCGAGGAAAUAACCAGAUGUUUGAAACUAUAUGGAGAUGCAUCUGGACAGUUAAUCAACAAGGCCAAGUCGUCAAUUAUCUUUGGAAAAGGCAUCGGGGAUCAAACUAAGGCGGAUGUCAUGCUAGCUUUGGGCAUCGACAAGGAAGGGGGUGAAGGGACUUACUUGGGGUUGCCUGAGUGUUUCAAAGGCUCAAAACGGGACCUUUUAAGUUUCAUUAAAGAGAAGCUGGAAGGCAGACUCCAAGGCUGGUACUCUAAAACCCUAUCGCAAGGUGCAAAAGAAGUACUGUUAAAAUCAAUGGCCUUAGCACUUUCAGUUUAUGCUAUGUCAGUGUUCAGGUUACCCAAAGAUCUGUGUGCGAAGAUCACUAGCGCUAUUGUGGAGUACUGGUGGAGCAGUGGAGAUAAGAAAAGAAAGAUUCCAUGGGUAGCGUGGCAAAAACUAUGUAAACCUAAGGAGCAAGGAGGUCUUGGCUUCCAUGAUAUUGGCAAGUUUAAUCAAGCUCUACUAGGGAAACAAGCAUGGAGAAUCUGGAACAAUCCAGACUCAUUGGUGGCCAAAGUACUUAAAGGUAAAUACUUCAGAAGAGGCAACUUCCUGGAAUGUGGUUUGGGCUCGCGUCCUUCCUUUGUGUGGAGAAGCAUCAUGCAUGGCAGAGAGCUCCUACAACAAGGUCUUUUUAGACAUACUGGAAAUGGUAUCAGCUCCAACGUGUGGGUUGAAAAGUGGAUUAUUGAUACUAUUCCUCGACCGCCAAUGUACAAAGCAAACAGUGUUGUUAACUUGGCCCUUAAGGUAUCUGAUCUUCUUAUCGAGGGGACUAGCGUUUGGAAUCAACCCUUGCUAAGACAAACCUUCACGCCUGAGGAUGUCCAAAGGAUCCUGUUGAUAAAACCUUGUGUGAAUCAGGAAGAUUCAGUCCGAUGGGGUUUCAGUAAAGAUGGAAGAUACAAUACUCGGAGUGGAUAUAAGCUCUUAGAAGCCCUGACUGACUUCAAUCAUCCCCAAGCUCGCGUCUUGCCACCGAUCGAAAAACAGUUGUGGAAGAAUCUCUGGAAAAUCAAAGCGCCUCCAAAGAUUAAACACUUUAUUUGGAGAGCUCUAUCGGGAGCUUUGGCAGUUAAGGAGCGUCUUACCACUCGGGGUAUUCAGAUUGAUACCACUUGCUCUAACUGUUCAAGAGAAUCUGAAAGCAUUUGCCAUAUGCUUUUCGUUUGUGAAAAGGCAAAAGAAGUUUGGGACCUUGCCAACAUUCCAUUACCUCAAACUGGGUUUUCAAGGAACUCUGUAUUCCUAAACUUCUUACAUCUCUUGAAGGUAUACAAUUCAAAUGAGGGGGAUUCCAAUACGCGAAGUGUUUUCCCUUGGCUUGUAUGGGAAUUAUGGAAGGCGAGGAAUGCACUGACCUUUGAAAACAAGACGGUAACGACCUACACCAUUGCAUCUAGGGCCUUUGAGGAAGCUUCCUCAUGGCAGAAGACCAUGAUCCUCAAGUCAAACACGGAGAUAGUAGAUGAUGUGGUAAGAACAGAAGAACCUAUUGGAUGGAUUAAGCCACCGUCUGGAUGUUUGAAGUGUAACGUGGGUUCAUCAUGGGUAGACCCUCAUCACCCGAGUGGAGCUUCGUGGAUUCUUCGUGGAGAAGAUGGUCAAACCAUUAUGCAUAGCAGACGUUCAUACUCCUUCAUGCGAUCCAAAGCGGAAGCAGAUCUAUGGGCAAUGCACUAGGCGGUGGAAUGCAUGCAUAACACUCACCAUGUCAACGUUAUCUUCGAAGCUUCAUCUGAACAACUCCAUGAUGUCCUUUCUGAGCCAUUUCACCACCUUGAGUUCACUGGUGUGGUGCAAUCUAUAAACCAACUUCUCAAUGGGAUUAAUGGAUGGAGCCUUAACCACACCUUGCAAGAACGUAAUGAGGCAGCUGCAACUAUCGCCGUGAGUGUAACACAAGAUCGGCGCUAUCAAUCAUACAUGGCACAACAUGAACCUGCUUGGCUUCACCAUCUGCUGGCCCUGGAAGCUUCUUCCAACUAAAGGAAGGGUCGACCUUUCACCCUACAAGCUCAUAUGUUUCCUCUUACAUUAUCAUUUUCUUACACAUCUUUCUUAGAUGUCUAUUGGCAUCCUUUGUUUCAGCUUUGUCGUUUUAUUUUCGGUGUUUCCUUUGUAAACAUCAUAGUUGUCGUCCUUACUUUGUUUCUAGGUGUUAUAAAAAAAAACUGAAACCUCAUCUAUAUCAAUCUCUCACUACAAGUAUUUGAUCAAGAGUUGAUUCUGGGUUUCAGGUCUGAAAUUGGGGCUUGAAAUCUCAGUCUCAAAUCUCUAAAUCAAUUUAUCAUUACAAGGGUUUGAUUGGGAGUUGAUUCUGUGUGUUCAGGUCUGAAAAUUAGGGCUUGAAAUCUCAAUCUCAAAUCUCUAAAUCAAAUUAUCAUUGCAAGGGUUUUGAUUGGGAAUUGAUUCUGAGUUUCA